rnacentral:rRNA from 1 species
AUGGUCGAAGGAGGUUCUGGGAUUUUACAUGGUAUGGCCAACAUAAUGUUUGAUGCUUCGAGAGAAAGGGUGGACAUAAAAUCUGAAUCUAAUGUCCUGGAGCAUACACUACUUGAUGAAAGCGUGGAGCUAACGAAUCUGCCGCUAGGACUUUUACAACACAUCACUGAGGAUUUUGCUGAUGCGCGACAAAUUGGUCGUGGUGGAUUCGGAAUCGUUUACAAGGGUGAUCUUCAAAACGGGAGCGUUGCUGUUAAAAGACUUCUGAACAGCCAUACAAUCGAAGAGGAGUCAUUUUAUCGCGAGGCUACUUUCCUGAUCAGUGUUAAACACAAAAAUAUAGUACGGUUACUAGGUUACUGUGCCAAUACAGAGAGUAAAGCGAUGAUAAAUCCAGAACCAGGGGAAACACCAAAGUUUAUUUUUGCAGAGAUAAGAGAAAGAUUACUUUGCUUCGAGUAUAUCAACAAAGGAAGCCUCGACAAAUAUCUUGCCGAUGAAUUAAGGGGACUUAAAUGGCAUACCCGUUACCAAAUUAUUAAAGGAAUUUGCAGCGGCUUGGAGUAUCUUCAUAAGGAAAAGGGUAUUAUUCACAGGGAUCUUAAACCUGCCAAUAUACUGCUUGAUGAUCUUAUGGUACCAAAAAUAACAGAUUUUGGUAUAUCAAAACUACUCGAUGGAGUAACACACAUUGUCACUAGUAACUCCGCAAUUUCACUUGGGUAUUGCGCUCCGGAAUUCAUAAAGCAUGGUCAGGUGUCAAUCAAGUCAGAUAUAUUCAGUUUGGGAGUUAUAAUUACAGAACUCGUAACUGGAUGUAAGGGCAACCUUGACAUUCAAAAUGUACUUAGAAGGUGGAGGUACAGGUGGAAUAAAUCAGUGAAUUAUCCACUAUUUGGAUACCAGCAGGUAACUAAAUGCAUUGAAAUAGCGCUAAAGUGCUUGUUAGACUCUCCAAAGAAGAGGCCUAAAAUAUCAGAUAUAGUCAGUAUGCUUAAUGCAUUGGAAAAUACGAAUGAGCACAUCAACAAUGUUGGUGACUCGCUAGUUGGCCCGAUAAGCCCUUACCCGUGGGAGCUGCUUGAGUUUGAUAGGCUUGAGCUGAAUUUUCCCUUCGAGAUAAACAAGCCGAUACCGUGUUCACUUCAGCUAACCAACAUAACCAAUGAUUAUGUUGCCUUUGAUGUCGAAAUGACAGGCUCACUGCAAUACUGCAUAGAGCUGGAGAAAUGUGUUGUGCCGCCACGAUCCAAGUGCAAUAUCAUGGUAACACUGCAAGCGCAAAAGAGGGCGCCACAUGCGACGGUGUGCAAGGACGAGUUCUUCAUUAUGCGGUGCGUCUCCGUGAAUGAGGGCCUCGGUGCUGAGGAUAUCAACAUAGACAUGUUCAAUGAGGAGUCGGGUAAAGAGGUCGAUGAGGUGACCUUGAAGGUUGUUGUUAUUACAGAAUUAUUGGUGAACUAA